rnacentral:rRNA from 1 species
GGGUUGUGAGGUUAAGUGACUAAGCGUACACGGUGGAUGCCCUGGCAGUCAGAGGCGAUGAAGGACGUGCUAAUCUGCGAUAAGCGUCGGUAAGGUGAUAUGAACCGUUAUAACCGGCGAUUUCCGAAUGGGGAAACCCAGUGUGAUUCGUCACACUAUCAUUAACUGAAUCCAUAGGUUAAUGAGGCGAACCGGGGGAACUGAAACAUCUAAGUACCCCGAGGAAAAGAAAUCAACCGAGAUUCCCCCAGUAGCGGCGAGCGAACGGGGAGCAGCCCAGAGCCUGAAUCAGUGUGUGUGUUAGUGGAAGCGUCUGGAAAGGCGCGCGAUACAGGGUGACAGCCCCGUACACAAAAAUGCACAUACUGUGAGCUCGAUGAGUAGGGCGGGACACGUGGUAUCCUGUCUGAAUAUGGGGGGACCAUCCUCCAAGGCUAAAUACUCCUGACUGACCGAUAGUGAACCAGUACCGUGAGGGAAAGGCGAAAAGAACCCCGGCGAGGGGAGUGAAAAAGAACCUGAAACCGUGUACGUACAAGCAGUGGGAGCCUCUUUAUGGGGUGACUGCGUACCUUUUGUAUAAUGGGUCAGCGACUUAUAUUCUGUAGCAAGGUUAACCGAAUAGGGGAGCCGAAGGGAAACCGAGUCUUAACUGGGCGUUAAGUUGCAGGGUAUAGACCCGAAACCCGGUGAUCUAGCCAUGGGCAGGUUGAAGGUUGGGUAACACUAACUGGAGGACCGAACCGACUAAUGUUGAAAAAUUAGCGGAUGACUUGUGGCUGGGGGUGAAAGGCCAAUCAAACCGGGAGAUAGCUGGUUCUCCCCGAAAGCUAUUUAGGUAGCGCCUCGUGAAUUCAUCUCCGGGGGUAGAGCACUGUUUCGGCAAGGGGGUCAUCCCGACUUACCAACCCGAUGCAAACUGCGAAUACCGGAGAAUGUUAUCACGGGAGACACACGGCGGGUGCUAACGUCCGUCGUGAAGAGGGAAACAACCCAGACCGCCAGCUAAGGUCCCAAAGUCAUGGUUAAGUGGGAAACGAUGUGGGAAGGCCCAGACAGCCAGGAUGUUGGCUUAGAAGCAGCCAUCAUUUAAAGAAAGCGUAAUAGCUCACUGGUCGAGUCGGCCUGCGCGGAAGAUGUAACGGGGCUAAACCAUGCACCGAAGCUGCGGCAGCGACACUAUGUGUUGUUGGGUAGGGGAGCGUUCUGUAAGCCUGUGAAGGUGUGCUGUGAGGUAUGCUGGAGGUAUCAGAAGUGCGAAUGCUGACAUAAGUAACGAUAAAGCGGGUGAAAAGCCCGCUCGCCGGAAGACCAAGGGUUCCUGUCCAACGUUAAUCGGGGCAGGGUGAGUCGACCCCUAAGGCGAGGCCGAAAGGCGUAGUCGAUGGGAAACAGGUUAAUAUUCCUGUACUUGGUGUUACUGCGAAGGGGGGACGGAGAAGGCUAUGUUGGCCGGGCGACGGUUGUCCCGGUUUAAGCGUGUAGGCUGGUUUUCCAGGCAAAUCCGGAAAAUCAAGGCUGAGGCGUGAUGACGAGGCACUACGGUGCUGAAGCAACAAAUGCCCUGCUUCCAGGAAAAGCCUCUAAGCAUCAGGUAACAUCAAAUCGUACCCCAAACCGACACAGGUGGUCAGGUAGAGAAUACCAAGGCGCUUGAGAGAACUCGGGUGAAGGAACUAGGCAAAAUGGUGCCGUAACUUCGGGAGAAGGCACGCUGAUAUGUAGGUGAAGUCCCUUGCGGAUGGAGCUGAAAUCAGUCGAAGAUACCAGCUGGCUGCAACUGUUUAUUAAAAACACAGCACUGUGCAAACACGAAAGUGGACGUAUACGGUGUGACGCCUGCCCGGUGCCGGAAGGUUAAUUGAUGGGGUUAGCGGUAACGCGAAGCUCUUGAUCGAAGCCCCGGUAAACGGCGGCCGUAACUAUAACGGUCCUAAGGUAGCGAAAUUCCUUGUCGGGUAAGUUCCGACCUGCACGAAUGGCGUAAUGAUGGCCAGGCUGUCUCCACCCGAGACUCAGUGAAAUUGAACUCGCUGUGAAGAUGCAGUGUACCCGCGGCAAGACGGAAAGACCCCGUGAACCUUUACUAUAGCUUGACACUGAACAUUGAGCCUUGAUGUGUAGGAUAGGUGGGAGGCUUUGAAGUGUGGACGCCAGUCUGCAUGGAGCCGACCUUGAAAUACCACCCUUUAAUGUUUGAUGUUCUAACGUUGGCCCCUGAUCGGGGUUGCGGACAGUGUCUGGUGGGUAGUUUGACUGGGGCGGUCUCCUCCUAAAGAGUAACGGAGGAGCACGAAGGUUGGCUAAUCCUGGUCGGACAUCAGGAGGUUAGUGCAAUGGCAUAAGCCAGCUUGACUGCGAGCGUGACGGCGCGAGCAGGUGCGAAAGCAGGUCAUAGUGAUCCGGUGGUUCUGAAUGGAAGGGCCAUCGCUCAACGGAUAAAAGGUACUCCGGGGAUAACAGGCUGAUACCGCCCAAGAGUUCAUAUCGACGGCGGUGUUUGGCACCUCGAUGUCGGCUCAUCACAUCCUGGGGCUGAAGUAGGUCCCAAGGGUAUGGCUGUUCGCCAUUUAAAGUGGUACGCGAGCUGGGUUUAGAACGUCGUGAGACAGUUCGGUCCCUAUCUGCCGUGGGCGCUGGAGAACUGAGGGGGGCUGCUCCUAGUACGAGAGGACCGGAGUGGACGCAUCACUGGUGUUCGGGUUGUCAUGCCAAUGGCACUGCCCGGUAGCUAAAUGCGGAAGAGAUAAGUGCUGAAAGCAUCUAAGCACGAAACUUGCCCCGAGAUGAGUUCUCCCUGACCCUUUAAGGGUCCUGAAGGAACGUUGAAGACGACGACGUUGAUAGGCCGGGUGUGUAAGCGCAGCGAUGCGUUGAGCUAACCGGUACUAAUGAACCGUGAGGCUUAACCUUACAAC